GAUGAACGCUGGCGGCGUGCCUAACACAUGCAAGUCGAACGGACUCAUAUUGAAACCUAGUGAUUUAUGAGUUAGUGGCGGACGGGUGAGUAACGCGUGGAAAACCUGCCGUAUACCGGGGGAUAACACUUAGAAAUAGGUGCUAAUACCGCAUAAGCGCACAGCUUCGCAUGAAGCAGUGUGAAAAACUCCGGUGGUAUACGAUGGUUCCGCGUCUGAUUAGCUAGUUGGCGGGGUAACGGCCCACCAAGGCAGCGAUCAGUAGCCGGCCUGAGAGGGUGAACGGCCACAUUGGGACUGAGACACGGCCCAA
rnacentral:rRNA from 1 species